rnacentral:rRNA from 1 species
GACGUAGGGCGCGAGCGUUGUCCGGAUUUAUUGGGCGUAAAGAGCUCGUAGGCGGCUUGUCGCGUCGACUGUGAAAGCCCUCGGCUCAACUGAGGAAGUGCAUCCGAAACUGGCAGGCUAGAGUACUAAAGAAGGUCGCGGAAUUCCCGGUGUAGAGGUGAAAUUCGUAGAUAUCGGGAGGAACACCGGUGGCGAAGGCGGCGACCUGGGUAGAUACUGACGCUGAGGUGCGAAAGCGUGGGGAGCAGACAGG